AGAGUUUGAUCAUGGCUCAGAUUGAACGCUGGCGGCAGGCCUAACACAUGCAAGUCGAACGGUAACAUUUCUAGCUUGCUAGAAGAUGACGAGUGGCGGACGGGUGAGUAAUGCUUGGGAACUUGCCUUUGCGAGGGGGAUAACAGUUGGAAACGACUGCUAAUACCGCAUAAUGUCUUCGGACCAAACGGGGCUUAGGCUCCGGCGCAAAGAGAGGCCCAAGUGAAAUUAGCUAGUUGGUAAGGUAACGGCUUACCAAGGCGACGAUCUCUAGCUGUUCUGAGAGGAAGAUCAGCCACACUGGGACUGAGACACGGCCCAGACUCCUACGGGAGGCAGCAGUGGGGAAUAUUGCACAAUGGGGGGAACCCUGAUGCAGCCAUGCCGCGUGUGUGAAGAAGGCCUUCGGGUUGUAAAGCACUUUCAGUUGUGAGGAAAAGUUAGUAGUUAAUACCUGCUAGCCGUGACGUUAACAACAGAAGAAGCACCGGCUAACUCCGUGCCAGCAGCCGCGGUAAUACGGAGGGUGCGAGCGUUAAUCGGAAUUACUGGGCGUAAAGCGCACGCAGGCGGUUUGUUAAGCUAGAUGUGAAAGCCCCGGGCUCAACCUGGUAUGGUCAUUUAGAACUGGCAGACUAGAGUCUUGGAGAGGGGAGUGGAAUUCCAGGUGUAGCGGUGAAAUGCGUAGAUAUCUGGAGGAACAUCAGUGGCGAAGGCGACUCCCUGGCCAAAGACUGACGCUCAUGUGCGAAAGUGUGGGUAGCGAACAGGAUUAGAUACCCUGGUAGUCCACACCGUAACGCUGUCUACUAGCUGUGUGUGAAUUUAAUUCGUGCGUAGCGAAGCUAACGC
rnacentral:rRNA from 1 species